rnacentral:rRNA from 1 species
GGGGAAUAUUGGGCAAUGGGCGAAAGCCUGACCCAGCAACGCCGCGUGAAGGAAGAAGGCCUUCGGGUUGUAAACUUCUUUUAAGAGGGACGAAGAAGUGACGGUACCUCUUGAAUAAGCCACGGCUAACUACGUGCCAGCAGCCGCGGUAAUACGUAGGUGGCGAGCGUUAUCCGGAUUUACUGGGUGUAAAGGGCGUGCAGCUGGGUCUGCAAGUCAGAUGUGAAAUCCAUGGGCUCAACCCAUGAACUGCAUUUGAAACUGUAGAUCUUGAGUGUCGGAGGGGCAAUCGGAAUUCCUAGUGUAGCGGUGAAAUGCGUAGAUAUUAGGAGGAACACCAGUGGCGAAGGCGGAUUGCUGGACGAUAACUGACGGUGAGGCGCGAAAGUGUGGGGAGCAAACAGGAUUAGAUACCCUGGUAGUCCACACUGUAAACGAUGAAUACUAGGUGUGCGGGGACUGACCCCCUGCGUACCGCAGUAAACACAAUAAGUAUUCCACCUGGGGAGUACGAUCGCAAGGUUGAAACUCAAAGGAAUUGACGGGGGCCCGCACAAGCGGUGGAUUAUGUGGUUUAAUUCGAAGCAACGCGAAGAACCUUACCAGGGUUUGACAUCCUGCUAACGAAGUAGAGAUACAUUAGGUGCCCUUCGGGGAAAGCAGAGACAGGUGGUGCAUGGUUGUCGUCAGCUCGUGUCGUGAGAUGUUGGGUUAAGUCCCGCAACGAGCGCAACCCCUAUUGUUAGUUGCUACGCAAGAGCACUCUAGCGAGACUGCCGUUGACAAAACGGAGGAAGGUGGGGACGACGUCAAAUCAUCAUGCCCCUUAUAUCCUGGGCUACACACGUAAUACAAUGGCGGUCAACAGAGGGAAGCAAAGCCGCGAGGCAGAGCAAACCCCCAAAAGCCGUCCCAGUUCGGAUUGUAGGCUGCAACUCGCCUGCAUGAAGUCGGAAUCGCUAGUAAUCGCGGAUCAGCAUGCCGCGGUGAAUACGUUCCCG